UCCAGGGUAGCUUAGUGGACAUGGCAUCUGUCCAGUAAGUGGAACACUGUGGGUUCGAUUCCCAUCCCUGGAC
rnacentral:tRNA from 1 species